AUGUACAAUGCUGAAAACAACACUAGUCAAAUUAGGCUUGAGCGUAUGUCCCAAAUUGCGUCGAUACAAUGUGAGAGGGGCGCAACGAGGACCAUGAGGCCACGAGUUACUGAUAACUCGUUUGAUGGUGCAUCUACUUUGCAGCCCCGAGGUUCCCACCCGUAUGGUUAUUGUAGCCGACUCUCUCAAGAAUAUGAUGCAGCAGAACCUGAAGUUCCUAAAUCCCUUGAAGCCCAUGAGAAAGUUGUUUCCCCUGUCGAUACCCCAUUAUAG